rnacentral:lncRNA from 1 species
AUGCUAUUCCACAUGAUGUUGGAGUUCUGUGCCUGGUGCGUGUGUGUGUGUGUGUGUGUGUGUGUGUGUGUGUGUGUUCUCGACUCAGCCUCCUGUCGACAAGUUUUGUGGACGUUCAAAGACAUUAUGGUCUGUUCACCGAGCUCUCGGAUGCUGUGCCUUAAGGAAACGUACCCGAAUCCGAGUAACCUGAACGUCUCCAGUAAGCAGCAGCUCGUGGUGCUCGGUGCUGCUUCAACCAAAGCCCUGACCAGAGAGACGAGAACCUGGAUCAUAGACUCCUUCAGCAUCGAAGAGGAACACCCAGGUCCAUACCCGUUCGUACUCGGACCUAUCAGGGUUGAACAGAACUACCAACUGAGGUUCAGGCUCACUGGAAGCGGUGUGGACAAAGACCCCGUCGGCGUCCUCAGCAUAGACACGGAGACUGGAAACAUCAUAGUCCAUCGCAAGGUCGAUUACGAGCUUUUCCCGCAUCUGAAGGUGAGACGGCUCACAGAAAAGUUUCGGAAAAGGUCACACGGCUCCCAUUAG